CACACUAUCAUUAACUGAAUCCAUAGGUUAAUGAGGCGAACCGGGGGAACUGAAACAUCUAAGUACCCCGAGGAAAAGAAAUCAACCGAGAUUCCCCCAGUAGCGGCGAGCGAACGGGGAGGAGCCCAGAGCCUGAAUCAGUGUGUGUGUUAGUGGAAGCGUCUGGAAAGGCGCGCGAUACAGGGUGACAGCCCCGUACACAAAAAUGCACAUAUUGUGAGCUCGAUGAGUAGGGCGGGACACGUGGUAUCCUGUCUGAAUAUGGGGGGACCAUCCUCCAAGGCUAAAUACUCCUGACUGACCGAUAGUGAACCAGUACCGUGAGGGAAAGGCGAAAAGAACCCCGGCGAGGGGAGUGAAAAAGAACCUGAAACCGUGUACGUACAAGCAGUGGGAGCCUCUUUAUGGGGUGACUGCGUACCUUUUGUAUAAUGGGUCAGCGACUUAUAUUCUGUAGCAAGGUUAACCGAAUAGGGGAGCCGAAGGGAAACCGAGUCUUAACUGGGCGUUAAGUUGCAGGGUAUAGACCCGAAACCCGGUGAUCUAGCCAUGGGCAGGUUGAAGGUUGGGUAACACUAACUGGAGGACCGAACCGACUAAUGUUGAAAAAUUAGCGGAUGACUUGUGGCUGGGGGUGAAAGGCCAAUCAAACCGGGAGAUAGCUGGUUCUCCCCGAAAGCUAUUUAGGUAGCGCCUCGUGAAUUCAUCUCCGGGGGUAGAGCACUGUUUCGGCAAGGGGGUCAUCCCGACUUACCAACCCGAUGCAAACUGCGAAUACCGGAGAAUGUUAUCACGGGAGACACACGGCGGGUGCUAACGUCCGUCGUGAAGAGGGAAACAACCCAGACCGCCAGCUAAGGUCCCAAAGUCAUGGUUAAGUGGGAAACGAUGUGGGAAGGCCCAGACAGCCAGGAUGUUGGCUUAGAAGCAGCCAUCAUUUAAAGAAAGCGUAAUAGCUCACUGGUCGAGUCGGCCUGCGCGGAAGAUGUAACGGGGCUAAACCAUGCACCGAAGCUGCGGCAGCGACACUAUGUGUUGUUGGGUAGGGGAGCGUUCUGUAAGCCUGUGAAGGUGGCCUGUGAGGGUUGCUGGAGGUAUCAGAAGUGCGAAUGCUGACAUAAGUAACGAUAAAGCGGGUGAAAAGCCCGCUCGCCGGAAGACCAAGGGUUCCUGUCCAACGUUAAUCGGGGCAGGGUGAGUCGACCCCUAAGGCGAGGCCGAAAGGCGUAGUCGAUGGGAAACAGGUUAAUAUUCCUGUACUUGGUGUUACUGCGAAGGGGGGACGGAGAAGGCUAUGUUGGCCGGGCGACGGUUGUCCCGGUUUAAGCGUGUAGGCUGGUUUUCCAGGCAAAUCCGGAAAACCAAGGCUGAGGCGUGAUGACGAGGCACUACGGUGCUGAAGCGACAAAUGCCCUGCUUCCAGGAAAAGCCUCUAAGCAUCAGGUAACAUCAAAUCGUACCCCAAACCGACACAGGUGGUCAGGUAGAGAAUACCAAGGCGCUUGAGAGAACUCGGGUGAAGGAACUAGGCAAAAUGGUGCCGUAACUUCGGGAGAAGGCACGCUGAUAUGUAGGUGAAGCGACUUGCUCGUGGAGCUGAAAUCAGUCGAAGAUACCAGCUGGCUGCAACUGUUUAUUAAAAACACAGCACUGUGCAAACACGAAAGUGGACGUAUACGGUGUGACGCCUGCCCGGUGCCGGAAGGUUAAUUGAUGGGGUUAGCGGUAACGCGAAGCUCUUGAUCGAAGCCCCGGUAAACGGCGGCCGUAACUAUAACGGUCCUAAGGUAGCGAAAUUCCUUGUCGGGUAAGUUCCGACCUGCACGAAUGGCGUAAUGAUGGCCAGGCUGUCUCCACCCGAGACUCAGUGAAAUUGAACUCGCUGUGAAGAUGCAGUGUACCCGCGGCAAGACGGAAAGACCCCGUGAACCUUUACUAUAGCUUGACACUGAACAUUGAGCCUUGAUGUGUAGGAUAGGUGGGAGGCUUUGAAGUGUGGACGCCAGUCUGCAUGGAGCCGACCUUGAAAUACCACCCUUUAAUGUUUGAUGUUCUAACGUUGGCCCGUAAUCCGGGUUGCGGACAGUGUCUGGUGGGUAGUUUGACUGGGGCGGUCUCCUCCUAAAGAGUAACGGAGGAGCACGAAGGUUGGCUAAUCCUGGUCGGACAUCAGGAGGUUAGUGCAAUGGCAUAAGCCAGCUUGACUGCGAGCGUGACGGCGCGAGCAGGUGCGAAAGCAGGUCAUAGUGAUCCGGUGGUUCUGAAUGGAAGGGCCAUCGCUCAACGGAUAAAAGGUACUCCGGGGAUAACAGGCUGAUACCGCCCAAGAGUUCAUAUCGACGGCGGUGUUUGGCACCUCGAUGUCGGCUCAUCACAUCCUGGGGCUGAAGUAGGUCCCAAGGGUAUGGCUGUUCGCCAUUUAAAGUGGUACGCGAGCUGGGUUUAGAACGUCGUGAGACAGUUCGGUCCCUAUCUGCCGUGGGCGCUGGAGAACUGAGGGGGGCUGCUCCUAGUACGAGAGGACCGGAGUGGACGCAUCACUGGUGUUCGGGUUGUCAUGCCAAUGGCACUGCCCGGUAGCUAAAUGCGGAAGAGAUAAGUGCUGAAAGCAUCUAAGCACGAAACUUGCCCCGAGAUGAGUUCUCCCUGAGUCUUUGAGAGUCCUGAAGGAACGUUGAAGACGACGACGUUGAUAGGCCGGGUGUGUAAGCGCAGCGAUGCGUUGAGCUAACCGGUACUAAUGAACCGUGAGGCUUAACCUU
rnacentral:rRNA from 1 species